rnacentral:rRNA from 1 species
AAGGACGUGAUAAGCUGCGAUAAGCUUCGGGUAGGUGCAAAUAACCUUUGAUCCGAAGAUUUCCGAAUGGGACAACCCGACAUUCUGAAGGAAUGUCAUCCUGCUUGGAAGGAGGCUAACGCAGGGAACUGAAACAUCUUAGUACCUGUAGGAAAAGAAAAUAAUAAUGAUUCCCCUAGUAGUGGCGAGCGAACGGGGAAUAGCCCAAACCACCCAUGUUACGGCAUGUGUGGGGUUGUAGGACCACGAUAUCGCAAGACAUUUGAUGAGUAGAAUCCUCUGGAAAGUGGAACCAUAGACGGUGAUAGUCCGGUAUACGAAGUCAAAUUAAGCGUAGUGGUAUCCUGAGUAGCGCGGGACACGAGAAAUCUUGCGUGAAUCUGCCGGGACCAUCCGGUAAGGCUAAAUACUCCCGAGAGACCGAUAGCGAACCAGUACUGUGAAGGAAAGGUGAAAAGCACUUCGAAUAGAAGAGUGAAAUAGUCCCUGAAACCAUGCGCCUACAAGCGGUCGGAGCAGCUUAUGCUGUGACGGCGUGCCUUUUGCAUAAUGAACCUACGAGUUACUUUUUCCGGCAAGGUUAAGGAUCUGGAGAUCCGUAGCCGAAGCGAAAGCGAGUCUGAACAGGGCGAUAAGUCGGAAGGAGUAGACGCGAAACCAAGUGAUCUACCCUUGGCCAGGUUGAAGGUUAGGUAACACUAACUGGAGGACCGAACCGAUAAGCGUUGAAAAGCUUCCGGAUGAGCUGAGGGUGGGGGUGAAAGGCUAAUCAAACUUGGAGAUAGCUCGUACUCCCCGAAAUGCAUUUAGGUGCAGCCUUGUGAGUUACUAAUGUGAGGUAGAGCGACUGAUAAGAUGCGAGGGCUUCACCGCCUAUCAAGUCUUGAUAAACUCCGAAUGCGCAUUAGUUCGAGGUCAGGAGUGAGGGCAUGGGUGCUAAGGUCCGUGCCCGAGAGGAGAAGAAUCCGGACCACCUGCUAAGGUCCCGAAAUGACAGCUAAGUUAAACUAACGAAGUCUGACUGCUAAGACAGCUAGGAUGUUGGCUUGGAAGCAGCCAUUCAUUUAAAGAGUGCGUAACAGCUCACUAGUCGAGGAGUCGGGCGUGGAUAAUAAUCGGGUAUUAAGUUGUCUACCGAAGCAGUGGGAUCAUUUAUAUGAUCGGUAGGGGAGCAUUCCAGUCAGCGUCGAAGGCGUACCGUGAGGUAUUCUGGAGCGUCUGGAAAAGCAAAUGUAGGUAUAAGUAACGAUAAAGGGGGCGGGAAACCCCCUCGCCGAAAGACUAAGGUUUCCUGAUCAACGCUAAUCGGAUCAGGGUCAGUCGGGUCCUAAGGCUCAGCCGAACGGCGAUGCCGAUGGCAGAAACGGUUAAUAUUCCGUUACUACCUUCAGGAGUGACGUGGAGACGCAGUAGUGACAGUGCCGCCAUCUGACGGAAUAGAUGGUUGAAGGGUGUAGGAGUCGAUCAUGGCAGGCAAAUCCACCAUGAGAUCCGAACCUGACAGUAUGCCGCGUCCUUCGGGACAAGGCAAUAGUGCGCGUAAGCAUGCUGCCGAGAAAAUCCGCUAAACUUAAUCCUGCAGGUACCCGUACCGCAAACGGACACACGUAGUCGGGAUGAAUAUUCUAAGGCGCUUGAGUGAUUCACGGUUAAGGAACUAGGCAAACUGACCCUGUAACUUCGGGAUAAAGGGUCCCUACCCUUUUAUGGGAGGGCGCAGAGAAUCGGUCCAGGCAACUGUUUAACAAAAACACAGGGCUGUGCCAAAUCGAAAGAUCCAGUAUACAGCCUGACACCUGCCCGGUGCUGGAAGGUUAAGAGGAGAUGUCAUCGAUAAGAGAAGCGUUGAAUUGAAGCCCCAGUAAACGGCGGCCGUAACUAUAACGGUCCUAAGGUAGCGAAAUUCCUUGUCGGGUAAGUUC